UGGUUGAUCCUGCCAGUAGCAUAUGCUUGUCUCAAAGAUUAAGCCAUGCAUGUCUAAGUACAAGCCGCUAGACGGUGAAACCGCGAAUGGCUCAAUAAAUCAGUUAUGGUUCCUUAGAACAGUCAAUCCUACUUGGAUAACUGUGGUAAUUCUAGAGCUAAUACAUGCACCCAAGCCCCGACUCGGGGGGCAACUCUCGAGAAAGGGCGCUUUUAUUAGAUCAAAACCAGUCGAGAGCUUCGGCUCUCGUUAAGUUUGGUGACUCUGGAUAACUUCACGCUGAUCGCACGGUCUUCGCACCGGCGACGAUUCUUUCAAAUGUCUGCCUUAUCAACUGUCGAUGGUAGGUUAUGCGCCUACCAUGGUUGCAACGGGUAACGGGGAAUCGGGGUUCGAUUCCGGAGAGGGAGCCUGAGAAACGGCUACCACAUCCAAGGAAGGCAGCAGGCGCGCAAAUUACCCACUCCCGGCACGGGGAGGUAGUGACGAAAAAUAACGAUACGGGACUCUUCCGAGGCCCCGUGAUUGGAAUGAGUACACUUUAAAUCCUUUAACGAGGACCCAUUGGAGGGCAAGUCUGGUGCCAGCAGCCGCGGUAACUCCAGCUCCAAUAGCGUAUAUUAAAGUUGUUGCGGUUAAAAAGCUCGUAGUCGGAGUUCUGUCUUCGGCCGAGGGGGGAUUCUGCCUACACGGUAUGAGUCUCGUUCCCUUUGGGUGUGCGGUGUCAAAGCCGUGCACUCUUAACGGUCGGACAAGUCCGUCGGAGUGUGGUUAUUGUUGGAAGGGCAACCGACCAAUGAGGCCACCGUAAUCGUUCGGGGUGCCUUUAAUCGGGUGUCUCGGGCGGCCGACAUAGUUUACUUUGAACAAAUUAGAGUGCUCAAAGCAGGUGACUACCGCCUGAAUAGUACAGCAUGGAAUGAUGAAAGAGGACCUCGGUCUGAUUUUGCUGGUCUUUAACGGUCGGGCUUCGGCCCGGCCUAUGCAGACCCGAGGUAAUGGUCAAUAGAGACGGACGGGGGCAUCCGUACUGCGGCGACAGAGGUGAAAUUCUUGGACCGCCGCAAGACGAACGACAGCGAAGGCAUUUGCCAAGAAUGUUUUCCUUGAUCAAGAACGAAAGUUAGAGGUUCGAAGGCGAUCAGAUACCGCCCUAGUUCUAACCAUAAACGAUGCCAACUAGCGAUCCGCCGGUGUUACUCCCAUGACUCGGCGGGCAGCUUCCGGGAAACCAAAGUCUUUGGGUUCCGGGGGAAGUAUGGUUGCAAAGCUGAAACUUAAAGGAAUUGACGGAAGGGCACCACCAGGAGUGGAGCCUGCGGCUUAAUUUGACCCAACAUGGGAAACCUCACCAGGCCCGGACGCUGGAAGGAUUGACAGAUUGAGAGCUCUUUCUUGAUUCGGUGGGUGGUGGUGCAUGGCCGUUCUUAGUUGGUGGAGCGAUUUGUCUGGUUAAUUCCGAUAACGAACGAGACUCUAGCCUGCUAAAUAGGUGCCGGG
rnacentral:rRNA from 1 species